CGAAAACAAAGCCUACACAUCUCUCUCUUUUGAGAACCUGUUCUUUUUGCAAUACCCAAGAACACAUAUCGUACUGCCUAUUUUUCAGUGUGAGAGAGAACAAAGAUGAUCCAGGAUUAAGUUUUACUUCUCGUUUUCCCAGUCUCCAGGCCUGUCUACCUGGAAAUGAAUACUUCCUUGAAUCAGGUCAGUUAUAUUAAUUUCAGAAAACGCUUAGUUUCUUUACUUGCUCAGAGUCUAUUUUUAAAUAUAAA
rnacentral:lncRNA from 1 species